rnacentral:rRNA from 1 species
GAUGAACGCUGGCGGCGUGCCUAAUACAUGCAAGUCGAGCGAACAGACGAGGAGCUUGCUCCUCUGACGUUAGCGGCGGACGGGUGAGUAACACGUGGAUAACCUACCUAUAAGACUGGGAUAACUUCGGGAAACCGGAGCUAAUACCGGAUAAUAUAUUGAACCGCAUGGUUCAAUAGUGAAAGACGGUUUUGCUGUCACUUAUAGAUGGAUCCGCGCCGCAUUAGCUAGUUGGUAAGGUAACGGCUUACCAAGGCGACGAUGCGUAGCCGACCUGAGAGGGUGAUCGGCCACACUGGAACGGAGACACGGUCCAGACUACUACGGGAGGCAGCAGUAGGGAAUCUUCCGCAAUGGGCGAAAGCCUGACGGAGCAACGCCGCGUGAGUGAUGAAGGUCUUCGGAUCGUAAAACUCUGUUAUUAGGGAAGAACAAAUGUGUAAGUAACUAUGCACGUCUUGACGGUACCUAAUCAGAAAGCCACGGCUAACUACGUG